CAGCAGUCGCCGCGGUAAUACAGAGGGUGCGAGCGUUAAUCGGAUUUACUGGGCGUAAAGGGCGCGUAGGCGGUUUAGUGAGUGUGAUGUGAAAGCCCCGGGCUUAACCUGGGAAGUGCAUCGCAAACGACUAAACUGGAGUAUAAGAGAGGGUGGCGGAAUUUCCGGUGUAGCGGUGAAAUGCGUAGAGAUCGGAAGGAACGUCAAUGGCGAAGGCAGCCACCUGGCUUAAUACUGACGCUGAGGCGCGAAAGCGUGGGGAGCGAACAGGAUUAGAUACCCCAGUAGUCCCUGUCUCUUAUAC
rnacentral:rRNA from 1 species